CCCCUCUCAGGGUCACACCUGGAGAGUUUCCAGUCCUCUCCCAUUCUUGAUUACAAGAGGGAGAGUCAGGUAGAGGCAUAUCCAUUCCACUCCUAGCUUGGGCAGUGGCUAGCAAAUGGAAGACAAUCUGCUACAAGU
rfam:Ornithorhynchus anatinus chromosome 2, whole genome shotgun sequence.